UAGCAUAUAUAAAACUUAUGUUACGGCCAUAAGAUGGGUAAGAUUUUACCGUAUGCUUU
rnacentral:tRNA from 1 species